AUUGAACGCUGGCGGCAUGCUUUACACAUGCAAGUCGAACGGUAACAGGCCGCAAGGUGCUGACGAGUGGCGAACGGGUGAGUAAUGCAUCGGAACGUGCCCAGUCGUGGGGGAUAACUACUCGCAAGAGUAGCUAAUACCGCAUACGAUCUAUGGAUGAAAGCGGGGGACCGUAAGGCCUCGCGCGAUUGGAGCGGCCGAUGUCAGAUUAGGUAGUUGGUGGGGUAAAGGCUCACCAAGCCAACGAUCUGUAGCUGGUCUGAGAGGACGAUCAGCCACACUGGGACUGAGACACGGCCCAGACUCCUACGGGAGGCAGCAGUGGGGAAUUUUGGACAAUGGGCGCAAGCCUGAUCCAGCAAUGCCGCGUGCAGGAAGAAGGCCUUCGGGUUGUAAACUGCUUUUGUACGGAACGAAACGGCUCUGGUUAAUACCCGGGGCUAAUGACGGUACCGUAAGAAUAAGCACCGGCUAACUACGUG
rnacentral:rRNA from 1 species